rnacentral:rRNA from 1 species
GACGAACGCUGGCGGCGUGCCUAAUACAUGCAAGUCGAGCGAAGUUUUUCUGGUGCUUGCACUAGAAAAACUUAGCGGCGAACGGGUGAGUAACACGUAAAGAACCUGCCUCAUAGACUGGGACAACUAUUGGAAACGAUAGCUAAUACCGGAUAACAGUAUUUCUCGCAUGAGAGAUAUUUAAAAGUUGGUUAUGCUAACACUAUGAGAUGGCUUUGCGGCGCAUUAGCUAGUUGGUGGGGGUAAAGGCCCACCAAGGCGACGAUGCAUAGCCGACCUGAGAGGGUGAUCGGCCACACUGGGACUGAGACACGGCCCAGACUCCUACGGGAGGCAGCAGUAGGGAAUCUUCCGCAAUGGGCGAAAGCCUGACGGAGCAACGCCGCGUGAGUGAAGAAGGAUUUCGGUUCGUAAAGCUCUGUUGUUAGGGAAGAAUGGAUAUGUAGUAACUAUACAUGUAAGAGACGGUACCUAACCAGAAAGCCACGGCUAACUACGUG